AAAAUAUUUAUGAAUUCGAUGAUUCUAUUUCCAUAUGAAAUAAAUAUAAACAAUAGAUAGAAUGACCUCUAUAAAGAUUUCACGGAUAAAGUUUUGUCUGCAGUAGGAGAUACAAUCACAAUGUGUUCGGUUCUUCAGCAUAGAUAAAAUGCCCGCGUUUAAUGAAACUAGUGUCUCUCUUCAAUUAAAAAGUUACAAACAUUAAAGGACAAUAACGAGAGAUUUCAAAUAAACAGUCGUAAUGUCGCGACAAAACGAUAUGAGUGACGAUGAAACGGAUCUGCAAACACCUCGGGUGUUCCUCAAGACCGGUUCAGGACAAAUCCCUCACUGCAGCUGUAACAACUCAGUUAUACGCAGUCCAAUCAGUCCUAGCUCGUCUGUCUCGAGUUCCAUGAUAUUCGGACAGAUCUCCGACGAUGUUCUUCGCGCUUGGAGUCAAUUGCCGGAGGCGAUCCGUCUGGAUCCCAGAUUGGCGGUUUUCCAGAAAGAAUGCGAUCGGAUAGCAGAAGCGAAAUCUAUGGAUUGCGUGAAGAGGGACUGCCUGGUUGUGAAUAUGUGCCCGCAUUUCGUGCAGCAAACUAACAUUCAAAGUCAAAUUCAAGCAACUCAGAGCAAUGCCGAGGAGGAUGGGCAAGAUAUGCACACGCAGGAGAAGCAGAAGCCGUUUUACCGCUACUCGAAAUUAAUCGCGCUUUCCUGCUGUUGGCUACUAUUUACAAUAACACUCAUGUUUAACGGCGAGAAGAUCGAGAUGAUGCAUCGGUUUUCCAUUCCUAACGGACAAACUUCAGAUUAUCAAAUCGGCGAACCUAUUACGAGCAAGUUGAUUAGCGUAACGAUAAAAGGAUCAUUGCUGCCCUUAAGGAAAACCGAGCUGCAUGCGAAUUUAUCCACGCAUUAUUUAAUGAUAUGGUUAGAACUUCUUACAGAGAAUACGUCUUACAUCGAUUCGAAGAACGUAAGCGAUGUGUGGACUUUGCCGCUAUUGCCUGAAAACUUAAUGGACAUCUUUCCCGAACAGAGGCAGGAAAGAACUUUUGAAAUAAACGUCAACAGCGAGGCACUGUCGCGCGGCGUAAUGUUUAUUAAAUUUCGUACAAAUUCAGAGUCGAAACAUUCGUUUUCUUCAGCUUACACUCUGUCACCGAUGAGUGCCAACGCCGGUAUAAUAUACGCCGCUUUCAUUUUAAUUGGCCUCUACAUCAUGAUCAUUUUCGAGGUUGUCCAUAGAACUUUGGCUGCCAUUUUAGCGUCCACGACGUCUAUCGCGAUACUGGCGAUUUUAAACGAGCGACCAAGUAUGGGUGAGUUAAUGUCUUGGAUAGAUAUGGAUACGCUACUGCUAUUGUUCUCCAUGAUGGUGCUGGUAGCCAUUAUCGCCGAAACCGGCAUAUUCGAUUGGCUAGCAGUCUACGCUUACAAGAUAACCGCCGGUAGAUUGUGGCCGUUGAUUAUGGCCCUAUGCUUCUUUACUGCCCUUCUGUCAUCAAUACUGGACAACGUGACGACUGUGCUGUUAAUGACACCGGUAACUAUCCGACUGUGCGAGGUAAUGGAGUUGAAUCCGGUCCCGAUCUUGACCGCUAUGGUGGUUUACUCUAAUAUUGGAGGCGCGAUGACGCCUGUUGGCGAUCCGCCAAAUGUUAUCAUCGCUUCCAAUAGAGACGUCAAAAAUGCUGAUAUCGACUUUGGCACCUUCUCAUUGCAUAUGAGUAUCGGGGUGAUAUUGGUGUUGAUCGUGGUUUCCGCGCAAAUUCGUUACAUUUUCCGAGACAUCGCGGUCCUCAGAUUCAACGAGCCACAGGAUGUACAGGAUCUGAGACACAUGAUCGCCAUUUGGCAACGAGCGGCAGCGAGUCUGUCCAGUUACAGCAGGGACGAGAAUCUGGUGAGGGAAACAUUGUUGAAGAAAGUGCAGCGUUUAUUGUCACAGCUAAAGAAGAAGCUGAUAACAGGCAGUGCAGCGUUAGAAAAGUACAAGACUACGCUCGAAGAAUUACAGGAAAAGUAUCCCAUCAGGGAUAAAUGGUUGCUGGCAAAGUCGGGAUUCGUGUUGUCUUUCGUGAUCACACUCUUCUUUCUACACAGCGUGCCUGAUUUGCAUUUGUCUCUAGGCUGGAUUGCCUUGAUUGGCGUGACGCUGCUCUUGAUAUUGGCCGAUAGCGAGGAUUUCGACGGUCUCAUGGCGCGCGUCGAAUGGAGUACGUUGUUAUUCUUCGCAUCGCUGUUUAUCCUUAUGGAGGCUCUCUCGCGUUUGGGUCUCAUCACCUGGAUCGGCAAACAAACCGAGAAUUUUAUUUUAUCGGUUAACGAAGAGUCCCGAUUAGCGGUUGCGAUACUGUUGUUGCUCUGGGUAUCGGCUUUAGCGAGCUCCUUAGUCGACAAUGUACCACUCGCUACCAUGAUGGUGAGAAUCGCGUCGAAUCUCGCGCAAAAUCGCGAGCUCAGUUUGCCUAUGCAACCCUUGGUAUGGGCAUUAACAUUUGGCGCUUGUAUGGGAGUUUGUUUAAAGGAAAUGGAACUUUGAUUGGAGCUUCUUCCAAUGUUGUUUGCAUGGGUGUCGCGGAACAGCACGGCUACAGAUUUAGUUUCAUGCAAUUCUUCAAAGUAGGAUUUCCCAUCAUGAUAACAAGUACCAUAACAAUAACAGUAUAUUUAAUGAUUGCUCACGUAGUCUUCGGCUGGAAUGGAAAGUAAAUGUAAUAAAGAAUUAUAUGAGAAAUUUGUUUGAUAUACAAGAAACGAUAUACUUGUAUCAUAUAUUUGUAAAAAUGUUUAUCAUAUAAUCUCUUAAGAGCAAAUUAAUAUAAUUACGUAACAUUAUCAAAUAUUAUCAAUAAUUAUGAUAAGUUUCGAUAAACAGAGUUGUUCACUUAUAACGCGACAUAAUAUCUCAAAAAUCUGUGUAUUAAUAUAUAUUAUUUUAAUAGUUUUUUUACUUCAUAUUUAUUAUAAUUUAAAUAUGUAUAUAUUUUUUAUGAUUCUAAACACAAUAGAAUUUGUGUAAGAAGAUUGUAAAAAACAGAAAUUGAUAAAGUUCUGUGAUGUAAAAAAUCAGACAUAUAAUAUAUAAUGGUUAUUUUAUAUACAUAUAUGUCUCAUCUGCAAUAAAUAUUAUUCUUUAAUUGUUUAUCUUGAUACGAAACGUGUUUACUUUAAAAUAAUAAUAUUAUAGAUAACAAUGUGUAAAUAUAAAUGAAUUGUAAUUGGCAAAUAUUAAUUGUAAAAAGGUUUAAUGAUCACACAUGAAAUACAUUUAUAUAUACUAGACAAUUCGUUGAAAUACUUUUAUUAAAAAAGAGGCUCUCCGGAAAAAAAAAUAUCCAAAGCUUGUCAUAUCGCCAACUUCUUCAAAAUCGAAUAAUUUGAAUA